UGGUGUACCUGAAGGAGGAGCUGGGGCAAUAUAUAGCAGCACAACCGGGCAGAGGCCUCUGAGAUUGGGAAAACCCGCUGGAUGAUGAGCCUUUUGUUUUAGAUUGAGGUAAUUCGAUCUAAAGGAUGCACGGUGAGGAGGCGACAUGCCGUGUCACAUUCAUCUGUUUGCCGAAUGGAGAGUCGUGAGGGAUGUUUCCGAAGCUGUUGUCAGAAGAAAGGGACAAGUCAUGAAGUUUCCUACAAGUUACAAAAAGGCAAAAAGUGACUACUAUUCAGAAGCAGUUUUUCCAGUACUGCAGAUUUCCAGGAGUUGCUGUUGAUGGGACACAUGCAUCAGGAGCCCUGGUGGGGCAAGAGCCAGGUACUACUUCAAUAGGAAGAACAGGUACUCCAUCGAUGUUCAGGUUGUCUGUGAUUAUGCUGGGAAAGUAACUAGUAUCGUUGCAAGAUGGCCUGGACUGGUAGCAGCCACGAUGCCAGGAUCUUUUCUGAGUGUGCACUGAAUUGAUAGCUUGAUGCUAGGGCAUAUGAAUAACAGUUGAUUCUUGGAGAUAGACUAUAGGGUAUCCAUGCCUUCUCUGCCUCAUCAGAAGCCAUUUCUUCAUUCAGAGGGUCGACCACAGAUGUGCUUUAAAGGCCAUCUGUACUAGUUCAGCCAAAGAGGAUUAGACAACCCAGCGAGGUCACUGACGGGAGGCUAUCUCAUCAAUUCAGUUCUCAAU